GUGCUAAGUGGCAGACGGGUGAGUAACACGUGGGAACGUACCUUUCGGUUCGGAAUAAUCCAGGGAAACUUGGACUAAUACCGGAUACGCCCUUCGGGGGAAAGAUUUAUCGCCGAUAGAUCGGCCCGCGUCUGAUUAGCUAGUUGGUGAGGUAAUGGCUCACCAAGGCGACGAUCAGUAGCUGGUCUGAGAGGAUGAUCAGCCACAUUGGGACUGAGACACGGCCCAAACUCCUACGGGAGGCAGCAGUGGGGAAUAUUGGACAAUGGGCGCAAGCCUGAUCCAGCCAUGCCGCGUGAGUGAUGAAGGCCUUAGGGUUGUAAAGCUCUUUUGUCCGGGAAGAUAAUGACUGUACCGGAAGAAUAAGCCCCGGCUAACUUCGUGCCAGCAGCCGCGGUAAUACGAAGGGGGCUAGCGUUGCUCGGAAUCACUGGGCGUAAAGGGCGCGUAGGCGGACUCUUAAGUCGGGGGUGAAAGCCCAGGGCUCAACCCUGGAAUAGCCUUCGAUACUGAGAGUCUUGAGUUCGGAAGAGGUUGGUGGAAAUUGCGAGUGUAGAGGUGAAAUUCGUA
rnacentral:rRNA from 1 species